rnacentral:rRNA from 2 species
CCUAUGAAGCUUUACUGUAACUUGAAAUUGAAAUUGGACUUUAUUCGCGCAGUAUAGGUGGGAGGCGUUGAUUAUAAUCUUGCGGGAUUAUUGGAGCCAUCAGUGAGAUACCACUCUUGUAAUGUUAGGUUUCUAACUUUGAAUCAUUAUCUGGUCAAAGAACAGUUUCAGGCGGGCAGUUUGACUGGGGCGGUCGCCUCCUAAACGGUAACGGAGGCGUACAAAGGUUUCCUCUGAACGGUUAGAAAUCGUAUCUAGAGUGUAAAGGCAUAAGGAAGCUUGACUGUGAGACCUACAAGUCGAGCAGGGACGAAAGUCGGUCUUAGUGAUCUGACGGUACUGAGUGGAAAGG